ensembl:misc_RNA 7SK 7SK RNA
AGAUGUGAGGGCGAUAUGGCUGCAACAUCUGUCACCCCAUUGAUUGCCAGGGUUGAUUUAGCUGGCUAGGCAGGUGUCCCCUUCCUUCCUCACUGCUCCAUGUGCUUGGUCGAAGAGGACAGCCUUCCCCAAAUGCAGACAGACAGGUCUUCUUCCAUGGAGGGUAUAUAAGUAGCUGUGCUCCCCUGCUAGAACCUCCAAACAAGCUCUCAAGAUACAGAAAGGAGAUGAUCUGACUCUUCAGUUCAUGACAACUGUCUCUGAAGGUUGUAGUGGAGGAUAUUGGAUACUGACACAAGUU